GGCUACUGCUAUUGGGAUUCGACUAAGCCAUGCGAGUCUAUGGACUUCGGUCCAUGGCGGACGGCUCAGUAACACGUGGCUAACCUACCCUCAGGUGGGGCAUAACCUCGGGAAACUGAGGAUAAUACCCCAUAGGAAAAGAGGUUUGGAAUAAUCCUUUUCUGAAAGGAUAUCCGCCUGAGGAUGGGGCUGCGUCCGAUUAGGUAGUUGGUGGGGUAAUGGCCCACCAAGCCUACGAUCGGUACGGGCCUUGAGAGAGGGAGCCCGGAGAUGGGGACUGAGACACGGCCCCAGGCCCUACGGGGCGCAGCAGGCGCGAAACCUCCACAAUGCACGAAAGUGCGAUGGGGGAAUCCCAAGUGCCUAUGCACAGCAUAGGCUUUUCCCAAGUCUAAACAACUUGGGGAAUAAGGGCUGGGCAAGUCCGGUGCCAGCAGCCGCGGUAACACCGGCGGCCCGAGUGGUGGCCACUCUUAUUGGGCCUAAAGCGUCCGUAGCCGGUUCAGUAAGUCUCUGUUUAAAUCCUACGGCUUAACCGUAGGGCUGGCAGAGAUACUGCUGGACUUGGGACCGGGAGAGGAAGAGGGUACUUCGGGGGUAGCGGUGAAAUGCGUUGAUCCCUGAGGGACCACCUAUGGCGAAGGCACUCUUCUGGAACGGGUCCGACGGUGAGGGACGAAAGCCAGGGGAGCGAACCGGAUUAGAUACCCGGGUAGUCCUGGCCGUAAACUUUGCGAACUAGGUGUCAUCUGGACCUCGGGUCCAGGUGGUGCCGAAGGGAAGCCAUUAAGUUCGCCGCCUGGGGAGUACGGUCGCAAGACUGAAACUUAAAGGAAUUGGCGGGGGGGCACCACAACCGGGUGGAGCCUGCGGUUU
rnacentral:rRNA from 1 species